rnacentral:rRNA from 1 species
UAGGAUAGAGGCCUACCAUGGUGGUAACGGGUAACGGGGUGUUAGAGCACGACACCGGAGAGGGAGCCUGAGAAACGGCUACCACAUCCAAGGAUGGCAGCAGGCGCGCAAAUUACCCAAUCCCGACACGGGGAGGUAGUGACAAUAAAUAACAAUACGGGGUUCUUUCGGAUCUCGUAAUUGGAAUGAGUACAAUUUAAAUCUCUUAACGAGGAACAAUUGGAGGGCAAGUCUGGUGCCAGCAGCCGCGGUAAUUCCAGCUCCAAUAGCGUAUAUUAAAGUUGUUGCAGUUAAAAAGCUCGUAGUUGAAUUUCGGGGUUAGUAGGUUGGUCAUGCCUCUGGUAUGUACUGGUCUCACUGAUUCCUCCUUCCUUAUGAACCGUAAUGCCAUUAAUUUGGUGUUGCGGGGAAUUUGGACUGUUACUUUGAAAAAAUUAGAGUGUUUAAAGCAAGCUAACGCUUGAAUACAUUAGCAUGGAAUAAUGAAAUAGGACGUUCGAUCUUAUUUUGUUGGUUUCUAGGAUUGACGCAAUGAUUAAUAGGGAUAGUUGGGGGCAUUAGUAUUCAAUUGUCAGAGGUGAAAUUCUUGGAUUUAUUGAAGACUAACUACUGCGAAAGCAUUUGCCAAGGAUGUUUUCAUUAAUCAAGAACGUAAGUUAGGGGAUCGAAGACGAUCAGAUACCGUCGUAGUCUUAACCAUAAACUAUGCCGACUAGG